GGUUCAAGGCGGGGGCGGUCAGCAGCGUCCCCCCCACCACCACUGAAAUGCCACCCCCCGGCCCUCAUCUGACAGUGGCAGGUGCAGAGACUGAGAGACGGUGCAUGGCUCUCCCGCCAUCACAAAGCCAGGCCAAAACCGGCCGCGAGAUGAGAGGCGUUUGCUGCAGAGACCUUGGACAUGAAAUUCUGGGUCUGAGCCUAAAAGAAGCUGCCCGGGAAGUUGGGAGCCAGGCAGAUAUCUGAGAGGGCUGGGGAGACAGCGGGGUUUGGCUGUGUCCGCCUGCCCAGCAGACAUCCUCCUUCUGGAAACAGUUCCGUUCUCUUCCGGGGACCACCCCGCUACCCCCUCAGUGCCUGUGCUGCGCAUUCCACACCCAGCACCUGGGAUGCACCGCGACUGCCUAAUCAGAGCAGCCCAACCCUCCGGGCCUCAUGAUUGGCUCUGGAUGGGCACAUGACCUGAAGAGAGCCAAUGAGAGCCAUUCCUGGGACUUUGGAUAGGAACGUGGCAGAGACGCACACCCUCCCUGGGCAGGCAACCCGGUACCACUGGCGGCCAUCUUGCCAGCUCGAGACUGGAGUGGAAAAUGGAGCUGAGGACGGAGACAGACUGAGACCUGAGGGUGUCGUUAAACCGCCUGGAUCUACCUGGGUCUAGAGCUAGUUCCUCUAGACUUUUUAGUUACCUGCCCCCAUUGAAAUCCCUUUUCUGCUUCAGCCCAUUUAAGUUAGGUUUUCUGCCACCUGCAACCAAAAGCCUCCUACUAGACCAUGAGACUCAGGGGUAGGAUGUAUUUCCUGGUCCCAUGGAUUUGGGCUCAGCCGUGUGAUGUGUUUUGGCCGAUAGAAUGAGGCAGAACUGACUGAACACAGGCCUUAAGAGACCUUGUGCAUUUCCACUUGCCUGGCCAGCCACCUGAUCCCAAGAGGAGGCCAUGGAGCAGAGCUGAGCUGUCCAGUUGAGCCCAGUCUAGACCAGCUGACUCCUAGCAGCCCCACAGACCGACACAGCUGCACGUGGACAGAAGGACAUUUGCACAAGGAUAUUUAUCACAGCACUGAAGUAACAGCAAAAGACUGGAAGCAACCUCAAAAUCUAGCAACAGGAGAUCAGUGAGAUCAACGAUGACCCAUCCAUAGGAGGAUGAUACCGGAAGUGGUUAAGAAGGAACUGACUGCAUUCAAAUGUGUGUCUGGAGCCAAGAUGCACCGAAGCAAGCUGGAGGACGGGGGCUCGGUGUGCGACCGCUUGUGUGUGUAUUUGAAGAGGGAUCUGUACAUAUGAAGAGCACAGGCCGGCUCUGGAAAGAGACUCUAGAACCUGGCCACUCAGGUUGCCUCUGGGACAGAAGCUGGGAGGGGCAUCAGUGACAGUGGAACGGAUUUUCUUUCUUUUUAGCUGCCGUGAAUUCGGAGGUGCCAGGUUCCCUCGUCCAGCAGGCACCGGUAUCACCCCACCUUUAACUGAAAAGGAAAUCGAAGCAUGUCCAAGUCCUGCCCGCUGCCCAGCAUAUACUGGGGGCUCAAUGAUAUUUGUUGAAUAAAUUAUUUGUGGCCCUUUGGA